rnacentral:rRNA from 1 species
AUGGCUUGGUGGAAAUUGUGUGUGCCAAAGAGUAAAGGGGGCAUGGGCUUCACAGAUAUUAAUUCCAUUAAUCUGGCACAACUUGCAAAACAAGCUUGGAGGCUUAUUGAUAAACCAGAUUCUUUGUGUGCUACAGUUCUUAAGGCCAAGUAUUUCCCUUAAGGACACUUGCUUAAUGCCAAGUGA